AACCUGGUUGAUCCUGCCAGUAUCGCAUUUCUUAGUUAAAAGAUUAAUCCAUGCAUGUGUUUGGCACUGCCUGUGCAGUGCCUGCGGACGGCUCAUUAAAACAGAGAUAAUCUACCCUCAGAAAAAGACGGAUAACUAUGCUAAUUGUGUGGCUAAUACGUGACAGUAAACUUACGUUUGCCCCUAUUAUCUUAAAAGCCCCUAACUUGAUUGUUUAUAGGGUGCCUAGACAUUUGUCUAUUGAGGAUGAGUCUCUGAUCUAUCAGCUACGGACGGUUGUGUAUUGAACAACCGUGGCUUUGACGGAUAACGGGGAAUUAGGGUUCGGUUCCGGAGAGAACGCAUGAGAAACGGCGUUCACAGCUAAGGUUGGCAGCAAGGAGCGAAAACUUUUCGAAUANACAAUGUCUGAAAAGGUGACUAUCCGUAUCAACAACUGCUUUUUAGUAAAUUGAUUGGAAUGGAAGACUAUUAGAAUUGGUCUUGAGU
rnacentral:rRNA from 1 species